CAUACAUUCGAACAGAAUUAUCAGAUAAAAAUUAAUACUAAUACAGAAGCAACCAACCUAGGAAGUGCCGUAAUAGCAUUAAACCAUCUUAGUUACUAGCAAGAUAAGCGGGCAUUGUCUCCUUGGCUGAAUGCUUGUAUCAAUCAUGAGAUGGACACCUUCUCACUAACAAAGACUAGGUCAUUAAUGUGCAUGCAAAGCACGUGCCAUUAGGCAGGUUCCAUCUAAGAGCUGAGCCAUAACUCAUUAACAACUAUUAUUACGAGUUGUAAAGAAAAUUAUGAACAUAAGAGAAAGUUAAUCGUCUCAUCUGACAACAAAUCAAUUACCAAAUAUAAACAUUCGUUCCAGCCAAGAAGAUUUAAAGUUGACAAUUAUUUUAUAUAGAUGAAUAGUGAAACUGACAAAUGAUCACUGUCAUUUCCAUCAAUAAUUGCUGGUACAGACUUAUGACAGCUAAACAACAAUCUUUAAGAGUCUGCUAUUUGUAUGAAAUAAUGUAAUGGGAGGCCUUCAAAGUUGUUGACUUGUUGUAAUGCCAAAACCUCAGGACAGGCAUUCUUAUGUUAAACCUAGAUCAUUGCUAAAUAUAAUUCAUAUACUGUUUACUAAAACUUAUUUUUAAGAAUAUAGUCUUGCUUUAGGUAGAUAUUUGGCUUGAAUGGUGAUGGCAGUAUAUUUGGUCAUUGGGAAACACUGCUAUUUUUGACAUUUUCAUUUUCUACCUUACUAAAAAAAUCAGUCAAAUGUUCAUUCUAAUUGUAGAAAUACUUAAAAUUAUCGGCCUUAGAUUACUCAAAAAAAAAAAAGAACAUAUACUUUAGUAAAUAAUGAGAUGUUGUUGUUGCUUCUUUACUAUUCUUCAUUAUUUUUCAUUUUAACCAUAGCAACACCCACUACUAUAGUUACAAUUUUAUUUUUAAAAACAUAUAUUGUUUUGGAUAAGCAACAAUUAUUGUUCUUAUCAAGGCUCGCAAUUUUAGUUCAGACCCCAUAUCGGUACUAUCCUAUUACAGUAUCAGUACGUGGUUCAGUAUGGUACAGCUCAGUGUGCCAAGUAACGAUAUCAUACGGUACAACAUAUAGUUCUGUACCAGUAUGGUACGCUUGGUACGGUAUGGUACCGACCGGUACAGCAAACCUUAAUUUUUAUUGAAAGAAAAACUAAUGAUUUUAAGGACUUUGGUUGUUUCAGGAAAGCCAGAGACAUAAGAAACAAUCAUGGAGGAGGUUGGAGGGGAUGGAUGAGAGAAUUGGUGCAAGAAAAUACGAGAUAUUAUAUAUAUAGACAAAGAGAGGAUUAGAAGUGUAGGAUUGUCCAUUGCCUUUGUUAAAAACAAGGUUUGGAGUACCACAAUAUGGUGCUGUAUUGAUCAUGUUUCGGUACAAUAGAUAGCAUGGUCACCCCCAUGUCUACUCAUGAUUCAACCAAGGUUUGAAAUACUUUGGUAUAGCAUAGCACAUGCUCGAUACACCUCAGUUCAAAGAGUAUCCUACCACAAUACGGUCAGUUUUUCGAACCUCGAUUAAAAUCUUUAUCACACCUUCAUGGAUGAAGUUUUGAUGUUUGGCUGGUCAUGCAUGCAGGUGUAUCACAACCUUGUGCACGAUGGAGCUAGAGAAGCUGGCAGCAUAUGUAGAAGAGUAUGCAAAGAGAAAGGUGAAGCUCCUCGACUUGUCCUACAAUGACAUCUACUUUCACGACAAGAGGAUCAAAGACAUUGAGGCCUAUAAAAUUCUUCUCAUGCCUAUGAAAUUAAGUUCUAAAGUUAAAAAUUACCUGCUAACAUUAAUUAGCUUGUCUAAUGUGAGAAUAAUAUACACCACAUGCCAUGCAAGAUAUGCAGUAGUAGCUGACCCUAACAAAAAAGGAGAACCCAGUGCAGUUCUCUAUCAAUUACCUACCCCAUUUUAUUUUAAAUUUUUUGUCUCAAUAAGUCUAGCUAUUUGGUGCCCUGCAUAUACAAGAAAUGAUAAUGCUAGAGCAUAGUCUUAUCCUUCUAGGACAAAAGUCUAUUUCACUAUUAUAUCCCAAAGAAAGGAUACCUAGCUUUUUCUUACCAUUCAUAAACUACCCAUCCUUAACUCUCUCUUUUUGUAUAUCUAUAUUUAUGUAUGCGUAAAUGUACACAUAUAAAUAUUUUUUUCUUAUAAUAUCUCUUGCCUUGGUCCUUCCCACCCUAAGCCAAAAUCAGUGGUGGCAUAUUCGGAAAGAAGGAUAGUGGUAAUGGCGAAGAGAAUGGUGAUGAUGACAAAGUUGGAGACAAAAGCAUGGUUCGUGGUGAUAGAAAAAUUGAUGAAGGCAGCUGUCUGUAGGGGUUGGAAAUCAGCAAUGUGGUUGAUGGUAGUGGCGACUUUCAAAAGGAUUAGGCGACAGCAAUGGGGAGUUAGGCACAUAGUUACCAUGAGAGGAAAUUAUUGCGAGAAACAUUAAUUGAGUGGCAAAAAGCUAAUGAUUAAGAAAUUCCCAAUUUAGGAAAUAUGAAACAAAAUUCUUAAACAGGAAAAAUUAAAAAUAUACCUAUACUACUAUAUAACAUGAACUCCUACGAUGUAUCCGUGUAUGAGGCAUGUUUGACCAUUUGUGUUUCCUCAUUGCACUAUUUCCUAUAACCAUUUCCUAUAUAACACAUUUCCUCCCCCUCCCCUACUUUACAUUUUUACCCACAAGAUCAAAGAUUCAAGUCCUUCUUCUAGAAAUCAAAAAACUUUUAGCAUUUAUUUAUUGUUUAUUUAUAUAAAUUUUAUUCUUAAAUAAAAAUAAGAUGUGCAUCGCACAUACCACAUUCUAGUGCAAAAAAUAUAAAAGUUCUCAAGAAAAAUCACUAAAUGAACUUGUUUUCAUUGAAUUCUCAUUAGCUUCUCAAACAUGGGGUGAUUUAAUAGUAACAACGAACUUAAUACAUAGAAACCACUCUUUUCAAUUUUUCUAUUUGCUAUAUUUCAUUCUUAUAUAAGAAAAAGACAAAAAAAGACAUGGCAUACCAUAAUAAGAGUGAUUUUAUCACAUCCAUCAAAGAAAUUAUUUAAACUCCUUAUCCACUCAGAGUCCUAGUUCUGGUGAUUUUUCCUCUGUGUUAUUCUCACAACGUUUCCUUGGACACUUGAUACGCACUUUGGAGUAUGUAUACCAACACACCAAAUCUGUUUCCAGAUUCAAUUUCUUGGAAAACUAUCAUGGAAGUGCGAAAUCCAUUUCUCGUAAAUAUUGUUUGGAGAGGACAGGGACAGUGGGAAGUUUGAAGACAACAAUGUUGUCGGCAGCAUUGAAGAAGUUCAAGAGGGCAAAGAUGAUGGUGAGUUUGGAGAGGGCAACCAACAAGGCAAGAUUGGAGGUGGCAACAACAUCAACAGUAAUUAGGGAUGGCAAUGGGGCAGUCAUGGAUUGAAUAAACCAUUACCCAUACCCGCCCCAUAAUUGAGAACCACGUGCUAUUACCUGCCCCAUCCCUGCCUCAAGGUGGGGUGGGCAAGUAGACUUAGAUAGUGCAAGCUGGGACAGGCUAGGGCGAGUAAAGCUGCAAAAAUCAUUAUUUUGCAUACAAAUCAAACAAAUAAAAAAGAAUAUAAAAGUAAAUCUUAGUACUUCACAUAACAUUAAACAAAGUAAGAAUUGAAGACAUAAAAAAUAAGAAACCAAAUUUUAACAAUAAUAGAAACAACAAACAGAAAUAUUAUCCUUUACAAAGUAUAACAUCCCUUAAAUUAAGAAAAUCAAUCAACUAAAUAAAAAACUAACAACUAAACAUGUAUGUUGUAGCCUUUCACAUGAUUGAUCUUUCUCAUGAUCAAGCCAAAAUUUUCUUCUCCAUUAUCAUCAUAAUCAAGCAACUAAGCAUGUAUGUUAUAGCCUUUCAUAUGAUUAAUCUUUCUCAUGAUCAAUCAAAAUACUUUCUUCUCCAUUACCAUCAUAAUCAUCAAGGCUUAUAUAUGAUCAAGUCGGGUGAAAACAUGUCCCAUUGAAGUCGGGCCGGAUCGAAACCCAAUGAGAUGGAGUAAAUUACUGCCUCUAACAGUGAUGGAGGUUGAGUGCGCAUCGGAGGAAGAUAAAAAGCCAUGAAACAAGGGAACACCACUCACACUGAUGUGGUCUUUGUCGACAACAAGAUCAACAAGGGGGUAUGUGGCCUUGACAACAUUGAAAAUAGGGCAGGCCGCAAACUAGAUAAUCCAUCUGAGGUUGAUGACGAUGCCACCAUUCUUGUUGGCAAUGGUGGCGUCAAUGGGUCCAUGGCAAUAGAGAGGCAGAAUAAGAAGGGCGAGAGAGAUUAAAGAAACUUAUGAGUAAUGGGCAAUUUAGAAAUUAAUGGAAAGUUUUGGAUGCUUUGUUUUCCCUUAAAGGUAUAAGAGUUCAUACAUCUGAAUUGAAUAUGCUUUCUCGAGAACUAACAAAAGCUAAUGACAACUUGUGAUAAAACUAUAGGUGCACAGCUCAUGGGGAGAGGGGGGGAGGGAGAGAGAAUGCAUUAAUAGCUAUGAACAACUUAUCCAUAAUACAGAUGUAAUAACCAAUAUAUCUUUGGAGGCCAUGGAAGUUAAAAUAGGCACCUAAAGUCAGCAUAAGAUUAUGAAAAUGUCGUCCAUCUUUAAACAAUUUAAUCGAGAUAGGAGCUUCAAGAACGACCCACAUUCCAUGGAGUAGAAAAUUCUUUUAGCUGAAAAAAAAAUCUACUAAUGUUUAUGAUCAAUUUGCCCCUGGAGGAGUGAGACAAAUGCUACUACUGGAACUACGAUGGUUGUCCCAUCAAAGCAAUGAAUUAUGAAUGUCAGCGAAUCAUAAAUUUCCUUAUGCAGCCUAUUCAAAUAGUUGCCUGCAAUUCAUAUGUCUAUCAAUCAUCAAUAUCAAGCCUCUGGUCAGACACUUGACGAAUGAACAAAUUUUUUGAAUUGCAUAUGCAAAAGAUGGAUAAUAGUUGCAGUACCUCCCGGAGAUGUUUAUUAUAGGUUUUCUCGUAUAUUGUG